AUUUUUUAAGCAUACAAUCUAAGACGAAAUAAUAUCAUUAUACCGUAAAAACAGAAAAUAAAAUUGAGAAUGGAAAUGGGGAAUGUGUCAAAGAGACAACAACCCGACCAAAUAAAAAACAACAGCAGAGGGUCACCAACAGGUCUUCAAUGUAGCGAGAAAUUCCCGCACCUUGAGGCGUCCUUCAGCUGGCCCCUAAACAAAUAUAUACUAGUCCAGUGAUAAUGAACGCCAUACUAAUUUCCAAAUGGUACACAAGAAACUAAAAUUAAAAUAAUACAAGACUAACAAAGGCUAGAGGCUCCUGACUUGGGACAGGCGCAAAAAUGCGGCGGGGUUAAACAUGUUUGUGAGAUCUCAACCCUCCCCCUAUACCUCUAACCAAUGUAGAAAAGUAAACGCAUAACAAUACGCACAUUAAAAUUCAGUUCAAGAGAAGUCCGAGUCUGAUGUCAGAAGAUGUAACUAAAGAAAAUAAACAAAAUGACAAUAAUACAUAAAUAACAACAGACUACUAGCAGUUAACUGACAUGCCAGCUCCAGACUUCAAUUAAACUGACUGAAAGAUUAUGAUUUCAUCAUAUGAACAUCAGGCACAAUCCUUCCCGUUAGGGGUUUAGUAUCAUACCAUCAUAACAUAUAUGAGAAGAACAUAACCCGUGUCAUGCC
rnacentral:lncRNA from 1 species